rnacentral:rRNA from 1 species
UACGUAGGGGGCAAGCGUUGUCCGGAAUUAUUGGGCGUAAAGAGCGCGUAGGCGGUCCGAUAAGUCGGCUGUGAAAGUCAGGGGCUCAACCCUUGAAAGCCGGCCGAUACUGUCGGACUAGAGUCCGGAAGAGGCGAGUGGAAUUCCCGGUGUAGCGGUGAAAUGCGCAGAUAUCAGGAAGAACACCCGUGGCUAAGGCGGCUCUCUAGUACGGUACUGACGCUGAGACGCGAAAGCGUGGGGAGCGAACAGG